rnacentral:rRNA from 1 species
AUUGAACGCUGGCGGCAUGCCUUACACGUGCAAGUCGAACGGCAGCACGGGAGCAAUCCUGGUGGCGAGUGGCGAACGGGUGAGUAAUAUAUCGGAACGUGCCCGGUCGUGGGGGAUAACGUAGCGAAAGCUACGCUAAUACCGCAUACGAUCUACGGAUGAAAGCGGGGGAUCGCAAGACCUCGCGCGAUUGGAGCGGCCGAUAUCAGAUUAGGUAGUUGGUGAGGUAAAGGCUCACCAAGCCGACGAUCUGUAGCUGGUCUGAGAGGACGACCAGCCACACUGGGACUGAGACACGGCCCAGACUCCUACGGGAGGCAGCAGUGGGGGAAUUUUUGGACAAUGGGCGCAAGCCUGAUCCAGCAAUGCCGCGUGCAGGAUGAAGGCCUCGGUU